rnacentral:lncRNA from 1 species
CUGAAAGCUGAUCUCUUGAGUGUAUAGAAGGGAAUUAAAGUCAAGCCUGAGGAUCCCUGCCACUUUCCUCAAACCAUAGAUUUUAUGUUGGAGUUGAUGUUAAGAAGGAAAAGAAGGAGACAGAUGGGGAAAUGACCAAGGAGAUGUGCAAGGGGAAGAAGGAGAAGAAGGAAAAGGAGAAGCAAGAGGAAGAGAAGAAGGAA